GAUGAACGCUGGCGGCGUGCCUAAUACAUGCAAGUCGAGCGAACAGACGAGGAGCUUGCUCCUCUGACGUUAGCGGCGGACGGGUGAGUAACACGUAGAUAACCUACCUAUAAGACUGGGAUAACUUCGGGAAACCGGAGCUAAUACCGGAUAAUAUAUUGAACCGCAUGGUUCAAUAGUGAAAGACGGUUUUGCUGUCACUUAUAUAUGGAUCCGCGCCGCAUUAGCUAGUUGGUAAGGUAACGGCUUACCAAGGCAACGAUGCGUAGCCGACCUGAGAGGGUGAUCGGCCACACUGGAACUGAGACACGGUCCAGACUCCUACGGGAGGCAGCAGUAGGGAAUCUUCCGCAAUGGGCGAAAGCCUGACGGAGCAACGCCGCGUGAGUGAUGAAGGUCUUCGGAUCGUAAAACUCUGUUAUUAGGGAAGAACAAAUGUGUAAGUAACUAUGCACGUCUUGACGGUACCUAAUCAGAAAGCCACGGCUAACUACGUG
rnacentral:rRNA from 1 species